rnacentral:lncRNA from 1 species
ACGAUCUCUAGUGUAUCAAGGCAGAAAGCGACAAGAUACUUGGACUCACUAUUAGUGUCUUAUUCUGGCCAAAGCGACAGAAUAAUACCUGCAAAAAAGAAAACAUUCUGGCCAAAGCGACAGAAUAAUAUCUGCAAAAAAGAAAACAUCCUGCAAAACAACUAGAUCAGUCUAAAAACGCAUAUGACUAUUGACCGAUUUUACCUCUAGCG